UACGUAGGGUCCGAGCGUUGUCCGGAAUUACUGGGCGUAAAGCGUGCGCAGGCGGUUCGUUGUGUCGGUGGUGAAAGCCCCGGGCUUAACCUGGGAAUGGCCAUGGAAACUGGCGAACUGGAGUGUGGCAGAGGGGGGUGGAAUUCCGCGUGUAGCAGUGAAAUGCGUAGAGAUGCGGAGGAACACCGAUGGCGAAGGCAGCCCCCUGGGCUAGCACUGACGCUCAGGCACGAAAGCGUGGGGAGCAAACAGG
rnacentral:rRNA from 1 species